rnacentral:rRNA from 1 species
CGAGCUUGCUCACAGGCACAUCAUAUCCAUAACACCUGUGCACUUGUCGGAUGGCUUAGUGAAGACCGCAAGGUUGGAUCUAUCCAUCUACUUUACAUAACAAUUCUGUAACAAAUGUAGUCUUAUUAUAACAUAAUAAAACUUUCAACAACGGAUCUCUUGGCUCUCGCAUCGAUGAAGAACGCAGCGAAAUGCGAUAAGUAAUGUGAAUUGCAGAAUUCAGUGAAUCAUCGAAUCUUUGAACGCACCUUGCGCUCCUUGGUAUUCCGAGGAGCAUGCCUGUUUGAGUGUCAUGAAAACCCUCAACCCUAGAUUGGUUAAAACCUUUCUUUGGUUUGGAUUUGGACGUUUGCCGAUGAUAAGUCGGCUCGUCUUAAAAGUAAUAGCUGGAUCUGUCUCGCGACAUGGUUUGACUUGGCGUAAUAAGUAUUUCGCUAAGGACAUCUUCGGAUGGCCGCGUUGCAGGACUAAAGACCGCUUUCUAAUCCAUUGAUCUUACGAUUAAUAUUCUUGACAUCUGGCCUCAAAUCAGGUAGGACUACCCGCUGAACUUAAGCAUAUCAAUAAGC